rnacentral:rRNA from 1 species
UACGGAGGGUGCAAGCGUUGUUCGGAUUGAUUGGGCGUAAAGCGCACGUAGGCGGGCUCAUAAGUCGGAUGUGAAAUCCCCAGGCUUAACCUGGGAACUGCAUCCGAUACUGGUUGGCUUGAAUCCGGGAGAGGGAUGCAGAAUUCCAGGUGUAGCGGUGAAAUGCGUAGAUAUCUGGAGGAAUACCGGUGGCGAAGGCGGCAUCCUGGACCGGCAUUGACGCUGAUGAGCGAAAGCUAGGGGAGCAAACAGG